rfam:Astyanax mexicanus Tnplaced_Scaffold_2516, whole genome shotgun sequence.
CAGUGCAGUCAUCCAUAAAGUAGAAAGCACUACUAAACCCCUCGCCACAGUGUAGUGUUUCCUACUUUAUGGAUGAGUGUACUGU